rnacentral:misc_RNA from 1 species
GAAAUGCGAUAAGUAGUGUGAAUUGCAGAAUUCAGUGAAUCAUCGAAUCUUUGAACGCACAUUGCGCCCCUUGGUAUUCCAUGGGGCAUGCCUGUUCGAGCGUCAUUUGUACCCUCAAGCUCUGCUUGGUGUUGGGUGUUUGUCCCCGUCUCCGCGCGUGGACUCGCCCCAAAGUGAUUGGCAGCCGGCGUACUGGUCCCGGAGCGCAGCACAUGUCGCGCAAACGAGUGCCUUGGUACGGCGGCGUCCAUAAGCCCCUCUCUCACGCUCUUGACCUCGGAUCAGGUAGGGAUACCCGCUGAACUUAGGC